GGGGAUUUAGCUCAGCGGUAGAGCGCUUGCCUAGCAAGCACAAGGCCCUGGGUUCAGUCCCCA
rfam:Rattus norvegicus chromosome 4, whole genome shotgun sequence.